rnacentral:tRNA from 1 species
AGCAGUGUAGCUCAGUGGAAAGAGCACAGCUUUGGGAGUUAGAUGUUGUGGGUUCUAAUCCCGGCUCUGCCA